rnacentral:lncRNA from 1 species
AAGAAUUCAUUGAUGACAACUCCCUUGUGCUCAAUCUUGCUUCAAUACUGACAGCAAAAUGAAAAGAAAUAGCAUAUUAACUGCAAAAGAGGUCCGAACCCCUAUGCUGUUUCAAAAUUGAUUAGUUCUCCGACCCGCCCACUGGAAUCAUCCAACCUAUUGAAGAAGCAGAAUGGGAUGUGGAUUAUAGGGUUUCAGAUAACACCAAGUCCCUUGUGAAAGAUUCAUUUAUUUGAGAGAGAGAAUGUGUGCUCACAUGCAAGGGCAGGGAGUUGCAGAGGGAGAAGGAAACAGAAUCUCAAGCAGACUUCCCACUGACUGCAGAGCCCAGCUCUGGGUUGGAUCUCACCACCCGUGAGAUCAUGACCUUUGCUAAAAUUGCCGGGACACUCAACUGGACUGAGCCACCCAGGAAGCUAGUGGAGAAUAUUCAGCACAUGGGAGAAAGAAGAAGACCUGGAUUUCAGAAAACAGACUCCAACACAUGAGGACAAUAAAGGGAAAUCCAGGUUUACAGCUAUGCAACAGCCUAGAAAGCAACUAGUCCAGAUGUAAACAAGAGGAAAGAUGGCUUCGGGAGAUAUAACUCAGGGCAGGAGCUUGAACUGUCCUACUGUUUAGAACUGUGUUUUAAUAUAUUGUUCUAUAAUUAAAAGGUGUAUGACAAAAAAACAUAAUGAUGAAUACAUAGA